CGACCGGCGCACGGGUGAGUAACGCGUAUGCAACCUACCUACUACAGAGGGAUAGCCCGGAGAAAUCCGGAUUAAUACCUUAUAAUACAGGGGCACCGCAUGGUGAUAUUUGUUAAAGAUUAUCGGUAGUAGAUGGGCAUGCGUUCCAUUAGUUAGUUGGUAAGGUAACGGCUUACCAAGACGUCGAUGGAUAGGGGAACUGAGAGGUUUAUCCCCCACACUGGAACUGAGACACGGACCAG
rnacentral:rRNA from 1 species